GUGUGCCAGAGCAGAGGGGGAGACUUGUGGAGGAACGUGGGACUAUCUGGGCAAGUGUGAUGAGGGGCUGGUGUGUGUUUACCAGGACUCGGCUGACAAACCAGACGCAGAGCGCAAAGGGAUCUGUAAAGCAGUGAUUGAAUCGUCGGAUCAGGAGAGCUGUCACCCAGAGUGCACCAGGGAAUACUGUCAGGCCAACCCUUCUGAAAUCUGCUCCGCCAGGUUUGUGUCUCUGGAGAAGACAGAGUGCCAGGGCUCCUGCCAACACACCUCCUGUUCAAGCUGCUUGCUGCUGAAACCGCCGUCAUGUCCUCAGACCUGCAGCCCCUCUGAUCACUCCUGUCUACACCACUUUGGGAAGUGUGUGCACAAUCACCUGAUAGCCACUCAUAACGCUGUGUGCCACAACAACCUGCAGGCAAAUCCUGAGGGACAUUUUCUGUGUCUGGUCCCAGCCUGUCCAAACACAACAACGUAAAGAGAGGAACUCUUCAGCAGCUCAUGUAGCAACAUGGAAAAAGGCAGCUAUCUAUAAACUUUGUGUAUACUGAAGAUUCUUAUUCCAACAAUCACAUUUUGUAUGCAUGUAAACCUGAAUAUAAAACUGUGAAAUGUAAUGUAUUAUUAAAUCAUGUGAAAUAAAAUGAUGUCAUACUGUA